AGGUUAAGCAAAUUACUCAAGGUCAUGUUCAGGCACUAUGCUAUGCAAUUGUGAGCCAGAGAUGGAGACAUAGCCCCUGACAAGGCUGUUGUGUGUGGUUGCCCAGCUUGAGCACUGCACAAAAUUGCCUCAUCCAUUGCAGAGGGCAAAGGAGGAUGAGGCUUGAAAUUUAGCCCAAGUUCUGCUCAUAAACCUUGGCCCUGACCCUGGCUACAUUGCACAAAUUCUACAAGCCAAGAUGUGUCUAUGAAGCUGACGCUAACCAGAGGCGGAAGAGCAUUACAAAUUGAGUGAAGCUCCUAGUUGGGUUAACGGCAGCCCUGGCCCCAGGAUCUCAAAAGCAGCCUGAAAAGCAGAUGAUGACAAUGGAACAUGGAUAUGCAGCCCCUGGGGCGAACCUGAGUGUUUGAAAUGCAUGGCAACAAUGUUUAAUUCAUGGCAACAAUGAAUCAGUGCUCUAAGGAAGAAAGAAGUGAAUGGCAAGAUUGCACUUGCCCUGACUGCCAGCCAGAAACUACAUUUCCCAGCAUCCCUUGCAGCUUGGUAUGGCCAUGUGACCACAUUCUCAUUAAUACAGGGAUCACAGGAUCUCAGGAUCUCACUCUGUCACCCAGGUUGGAGUGCACUGAUGUGAUCUCAGCUCACUGCAACCUCUGCCUCCCAGGCUCAAGUGAUCCUCCUACCUCAGCCUCCAGAGUAGGUGGGACUACAGGUGCAUGCCACCCUGCCUGGCUAAUUUUUGUAUUUUUUGUAGAGACAGGGUUUUGCCAUGUUGCCCAGGCU
rnacentral:lncRNA from 1 species